rnacentral:rRNA from 1 species
GGAUUAGAUACCCUGGUAGUCCACGCCGUAAACGAUGUCUACUUGGAGGUUGUGGCCUUGAGCCGUGGCUUUCGGAGCUAACGCGUUAAGUAGACCGCCUGGGGAGUACGGUCGCAAGAUUAAAACUCAAAUGAAUUGACGGGGGCCCGCACAAGCGGUGGAGCAUGUGGUUUAAUUCGAAGCAACGCGAAGAACCUUACCAGGUCUUGACAUCCAGAGAACUUACUAGAGAUAGUUUGGUGCCUUCGGGAACUCUGUGACAGGUGCUGCAUGGCUGUCGUCAGCUCGUGCCG